ACCAAGGAGUCUAACAUGUGCGCGAGCCGCGGGGCAGUACGAAACCCGUAAGGCGAAAUGAAGGUGAACGCCGGCGCGGUCCGGCGGAGGUUGGAUCCCGUCCCGUCGGGGCGGGCGCACUACCGGCCGAUCUUCUCCGCCCUGUCGGCGAGGUCGAGCGAGAGCGUGCAAGUCGGGACCCGAAAGAUGGUGAACUAUGCCUGAGGAGGUUGAAGCCAGAGGAAACGA
rnacentral:ncRNA from 1 species